rnacentral:rRNA from 1 species
UACGUAGGGGGCAAGCGUUGUCCGGAAUCAUUGGGCGUAAAGAGCGCGUAGGCGGCCCGAUAAGUCCGCUGUAAAAGUCAAAGGCUCAACCUUUGAAUGUCAGUGGAUACUGCCGGGCUAGAGUCCGGAAGAGGCGAGUGGAAUUCCUGGUGUAGCGGUGGAAUGCGCAGAUAUCGGGAGGAACACCGGUGGCGAAGGCGGUUCUCUGGGCCUGUACUGACGCUGAGGAGCGAAAGCGUGGGGAGCGAACAGG